CUAAUGAUAAAUUCGACCGUACUGUAAACCGACACAGGUGGGUGAGUCGAGGAGACUAAGGCGUUCGAGAGAACUCUCGUUAAGGAACUAGGCAAAUGAGCCCCGUAACUUCGGGAUAAGGGGCGCCAGCGCAAGCUGGCCGCAGCGAAGCAGCCCAGGCGACUGUUUACCAAAAACACAGGUCUCUGCUAACACGAAAGUGGAUGUAUAGGGGCUGACGCCUGCCCAAUGCCAGUAGGUUAACAGGAGAUGUCAGGAGUAAUCCGAAGCAUUGAAUCGAAGCCCUGGUGAAUGGCGGCCGUAACUCUAACGGUCCUAAGGUAGCGAAAUUCCUUGUCGGCUAAAUACCGACCCGCAUGAAAGGCGUAACGACUUGGGCACUGUCUCAACGAGAAGCUCGGUAAAAUUGUAGCACCCGUGAAGAUGCGGGUUACGCGCAGUAGGACGGAAAGACCCCGUGGAGCUUUACUACACCCUGUCACUGCGAAUUGGGUGUAGAUGUAGAGAGUAGGUGGGAGCUUAGGCACCAAUGGAACACCACCCUUCUACAUCUGGUUCGCUAACCGUCACCAUUAUCUGGUGACGAGACAAUGACAGGCGGGUAGUUUGACUGGGGCGGUCGCCUCCCAAAAGGUAACGGAGGCGCCUAAAGUUGCACUCAGGCUGGUUGGAAAUCAGCCGUCGAGCGUAUAGGUAUAUAGUGCGAUUGACUGCGAGACAAACAGGUCGAGCAGGGACGAAAGUCGAGCUAAGUGACCCUCUGGUGGUGCGUGGGCACGCCAGGGUUCAUCGGAUAUAAGCUACCCCGGGGAUAACAGGCUGAUCUUGCCCGAGCGCUCACAGCGACGGCAUGGUUUGGCACCUCGAUGUCGGCUCGUCUCAUCCUGGGGCUGUACACGGUCCCAAGGGUUCCGGAGUUCACGGAUUAAAGAGGCACGCGAGCUGGGUUCAGAACGGCGUGAGCCAGUUCGGUCCCUAUCCACUGCGCGCGGAGGAAAUUUGAGAGGACUCGCUCCUAGUACGAGAGGACCGGAGUGAACCGACCUCUGGUGUACCUGUUGUGCCGCCAGGCGCAUACGCAGGGUAGCCACGUCGGGUCGUGAUAAGCGCUGAAAGCAUCUAAGCGCCAAGCACACCUCAAGAUGAGAUUUCCCAUCGAAAGAGUAAGGCCCCCGGAAGACUACCGGGUUGAUAGGUCGCAGGUGUGAGCGCAGUAAUGUGUUAAGCUGAGCGAUACUAAUUGGCCGAGGGCGAG
rnacentral:rRNA from 1 species